rnacentral:rRNA from 1 species
GCAAGUCGAACGCGAUCCACCAUGACCUUUGAAGUGCUUGCACGGAUGAGGAAUUGGAUUCUGGAUUGAGUGGCGAACGGGUGAGUAACACGUUGGCAUCUGCCCCCAAGUCAGGGAUAACCUUUCGAAAGAAAGACUAAUACCGGAUAGUCUCUUCGGAGUAAAGAUUUAUUGCUUGGGGAGGAGCCUGCGGUCUAUCAGCUUGUUGGUAGUGUAAUAGACUACCAAGGCUAUGACGGAUAACUGGUCUGAGAGGAUGACC